rnacentral:rRNA from 14 species
CAACGGAUAAAAGGUACUCUGGGGAUAACAGGCUGAUACCGCCCAAGAGUUCAUAUCGACGGCGGUGUUUGGCACCUCGAUGUCGGCUCAUCUCAUCCUGGGGCUGAAGCAGGUCCCAAGGGUAUGGCUGUUCGCCAUUUAAAGUGGUACGUGAGCUGGGUUUAAAACGUCGUGAGACAGUUUGGUCCCUAUCUGCAGUGGGCGUUGGAAGUUUGACGGGGGCUGCUCCUAGUACGAGAGGACCGGAGUGGACGAACCU